rnacentral:rRNA from 1 species
GACGAACGCUGGCGGCGUGCCUAAUACAUGCAAGUAGGACGCAGUUGCGAACGGGUGAGUAACGCGUAGGUAACUACCUAUUAGAGGGGGGUAACUAUUGGAAACGAUAGCUAAUACCGCAUACUAGUAGAUGGACCUGCGUUGUAUUAGAUAGUAGGUAGGGUAAUGGCCUACCUAGGCAACGAUACAUAGCCGAACUGAGAGGGGGGUCGGCCAAAAUGGGGAGGAGAAACGGCCCAGACUCCGAAGGGAGGCAGCAGGAGGGAAGCUUCGGCAAUGGGGGGAACCCUGAACGGGCAACGCCGCGUGAGUGAAGAAGGUUUUCGGAUCGUAAAGCUCUGUUGUUAAGGGAGCGGUACUUAACCAGAAAGGGACGGCUAACUACGUGCCAGCAGCCGCGGUAAUAC